CUCGUAGGCGGUUCGGUAAGUCGGGUGUGAAAACUCUGGGCUCAACUCAGAGACGCCACUCGAUACUGCUGUGACUAGAGUGCGGUAGGGGAGCGGGGAAUUUCUGGUGUAGCGGUGAAAUGCGCAGAUAUCAGAAGGAACACCAGUGGCGAAGGCGCCGCUCUGGGCCGUAACUGACGCUGAGGAGCGAAAGCAUGGGUAGCAAACA
rnacentral:rRNA from 1 species